GAUGAACGCUGGCGGCGUGCCUAAUACAUGCAAGUCGAGCGAACGGGCGAGAAGCUUGCUUCUCUGAUGUUUGCGGCGGACGGGUGAGUAACACGUGGAUAACCUACCUAUAAGACUGGGAUAACUUCGGGAAACCGGAGCUAAUACCGGAUGAUAUUUUGAACCGCAUGGUUCAAAAGUGAAAGACGGUCUUGCUGUCACUUAUAGAUGGAUCCGCGCUGCAUUAGCUAGUUGGUAAGGUAACGGCUUACCAAGGCAACGAUGCAUAGCCGACCUGAGAGGGUGAUCGGCCACACUGGAACUGAGACACGGUCCAGACUCCUACGGGAGGCAGCAGUAGGGAAUCUUCCACAAUGGGCGAAAGCCUGACGGAGCAACGCCGCGUGAGUGAUGAAGGUCUUCGGAUCGUAAAGCUCUGUUAUUAGGGAAGAACAUAUGUGUAAGUAACUGUGCACAUCUUGACGGUACCUAAUCAGAAAGCCACGGCUAACUACGUG
rnacentral:rRNA from 1 species